rnacentral:rRNA from 1 species
ACGGGAGGCAGCAGUGGGGAAUAUUGGGCAAUGGACGAAAGUCUGACCCAGCGACGCCGCGUGAGGGAAGAAGAUCUUCGGAUUGUAAACCUUAGUCAACAGGGAAGAAUCAAGUGACGGUACCUGUGGAGGAAGCCACGGCUAACUACGUGCCAGCAGCCGCGGUAAUACGUAGGUGGCGAGCGUUAUCCGGAUUUACUGGGUGUAAAGGGUGUGUAGGCGGGAUUGCAAGUCAGAUGUGAAAACUGUCGGCUCAGCUGACAGCCUGCAUUUGAAACUGUAGUUCUUGAGUGUGGGAGAGGUAAGCGGAAUUCCCAGUGUAGCGGUAAAAUGCGUAGAUAUUGGGAGGAACACCAGUGGCGAAGGCGGCUUACUGGACAUUAACUGACGCUGAGGCGCGAAAGUGUGGGGAGCAAACAGGAUUAGAUACCCUGGUA